rnacentral:rRNA from 1 species
CAGUAGCCACGGUAAUACGAAGGGUGCAAGCGUUACACGGAAUUACUGGGCGUAAAGCGUGCGUAGGUGGUGGUUUAAGUCCGUUGUGAAAGCCCUGGGCUCAACCUGGGAAUUGCAGUGGAUACUGGGUCACUAGAGUGUGGUAGAGGAUAGUGGAAUUUCCGGUGUAGCAGUGAAAUGCGUAGAGAUCGGAAGGAACAUCUGUGGCGAAGGCGACUAUCUGGGCCAACACUGACACUGAGGCACGAAAGCGUGGGGAGCAAACAGGAUUAGAGACCCCGGUAGUCCCUGUCUCUUAUAC